UACAGAGGGGGCUAGCGUUGUCCGGAAUCAUUGGGCGUAAAGCGCGUGUAGGCGGCCAGAAAAGUCCGCUGUGAAAACUCGAGGCUCAACUUCGAGCUGUCGGUGGAAACUUUCUGGCUAGAGUCCGGAAGAGGAGAAUGGAAUUCCUGGUGUAGCGGUGAAAUGCGCAGAUAUCAGGAAGAACACCCGUGGCGAAGGCGGUUCUCUGGGACGGUACUGACGCUGAGACGCGAAAGCGUGGGGAGCGAACAGG
rnacentral:rRNA from 1 species